AGAGCGAACGCUGGCGGCAGGCCUAAUACAUGCAAGUCGAACGGAUCCUUCGGGAUUAGUGGCGGACGGGUGAGUAACACGUGGGAACGUGCCCUUUGGUUCGGAACAACUCAGGGAAACUUGAGCUAAUACCGAAUGUGCCCUUCGGGGGAAAGAUUUAUCGCCAUUGGAGCGGCCCGCGUCUGAUUAGCUAGUUGGUGAGGUAAAGGCUCACCAAGGCGACGAUCAGUAGCUGGUCUGAGAGGAUGAUCAGCCACACUGGGACUGAGACACGGCCCAGACUCCUACGGGAGGCAGCAGUAGGGAAUCUUGCGCAAUGGGCGAAAGCCUGACGCAGCCAUGCCGCGUGAAUGAUGAAGGUCUUAGGAUUGUAAAAUUCUUUCAGCGGGGACGAUAAUGACGGUACCCGCAGAAGAAGCCCCGGCUAACUUCGCGCCAGCAGCCGC
rnacentral:rRNA from 1 species